rnacentral:snoRNA from 1 species
GAAUGAAGGAAGCAUGGUAGUGCACACGGAAAUUGAAUUUGGUCAAUAUGUCUGCUCCCUCUGAUGCCUUGUCUUUCUGGGCUUUUGAUUUGGGGGCCUGGUUGCGACCUACAUCC